rnacentral:rRNA from 1 species
UGGGGAAUAUUGGACAAUGGGCGAAAGCCUGAUCCAGCCAUGCCGCGUGUGUGAAGAAGGCCUUUUGGUUGUAAAGCACUUUAAGUGGGGAGGAAAAGCUUAUGGUUAAUACCCAUAAGCCCUGACGUUACCCACAGAAUAAGCACCGGCUAACUCCGUGCCAGCAGCCGCGGUAAUACGGAGGGUGCAAGCGUUAAUCGGAAUUACUGGGCGUAAAGCGCGCGUAGGUGGUUAUUUAAGUCAGAUGUGAAAGCCCCGGGCUUAACCUGGGAACUGCAUCUGAUACUGGAUAACUAGAGUAGGUGAGAGGGGAGUAGAAUUCCAGGUGUAGCGGUGAAAUGCGUAGAGAUCUGGAGGAAUACCGAUGGCGAAGGCAGCUCCCUGGCAUCAUACUGACACUGAGGUGCGAAAGCGUGGGUAGCAAACAGGAUUAGAUACCCUGGUAGUCCACGCCGUAAACGAUGUCUACCAGUCGUUGGGUCUUUUAAAGACUUAGUGACGCAGUUAACGCAAUAAGUAGACCGCCUGGGGAGUACGGCCGCAAGGUU